rnacentral:rRNA from 1 species
UACGUAGGUGGCAAGCGUUGUCCGGAAUUAUUGGGCGUAAAGCGCGCGCAGGCGGCCUCUUAAGUCUGAUGUGAAAGCCCCCGGCUCAACCGGGGAGGGCCAUUGGAAACUGGGAGGCUUGAGUAUAGGAGAGAAGAGUGGAAUUCCACGUGUAGCGGUGAAAUGCGUAGAGAUGUGGAGGAACGCCAGUGGCGAAGGCGACUCUUUGGCCUAUAACUGACGCUGAGGCGCGAAAGCGUGGGGAGCAAACAGG